CCCCAAGCCCCCACCCCUCAGCCGCUGCUCCUGCAGCAAAAGCAUCAUGAAUCAUCCACACCUCCCGUUGCCCUAACAGGCCUCUUCUCUUAUUGUUCUUCUAGCAUGAUUGGUUUUGUUCCUUAUUAGAUGGUGAAAAGGAAUGACCUAAAUGGAGGUGGAUGGAUGGAUGGCCUUCCCGCUCCUGUACCUCAGUGGUGUAAUAUAUCUACUCACCCAAGAUUUGAAUUUCAAACGUGGACAACAAGAGGCCGAAUUUCUACACUAAAGAAGCAAUGGUCGAUGACGUCAAUUUCAUUUCUGCACCGACGACAGAAACAGCUCCUUAUCAAGCACUUGGGCUACUGCACAAACCUGGCUUCAAGAAAGAACUGUCCUGAUCUGACACAUGAUCCAAGUCAAAAAAUUUGAAAUCCAAUUUGAAACUGUGGUCUGGCAGAACCAACACAAUUCAGGGCUAGAUAUUUAAAAG
ensembl:lncRNA